CAUGCAGUCGAACGAGAACGGCGGCUUCGGUCGCUUAGUAAAGUGGCAGACGGCUGAGUAACACGUAAGUAACCAACCCCGGAGCGGGGAAUAAUCAUGAGAAAUCGUGCCUAAUACCCCGUACGUCCCAACAGGCGUUGCCGUUGGGGGAAAGGCUUCGGUCGCUCCGGGACGGGCUUGCGGCCUAUCAGGUAGUUGGUGGGGUAAUGGCCCACCAAGCCGGAGACGGGUACCCGGUGUGAGAGCACGAACGGGCAGAGGGGGACUGAGACACGGCCCCCACUCCUACGGGAGGCAGCAGCAGGGAAUCUUGCGCAAUGGGCGAAAGCCUGACGCAGCGACACCGCGUGGAGGGAGAAGGCUUUCGGGUCGUAAACUCCUUUUCUUGGGGAAGAGAACGGACGGUACCCAAGGAAUAAGCAUCGGCUAACUACGUGCCAGCAGCCGCGGUAAUACGUAGGAUGCGAGCGUUGUCCGGAUUUACUGGGCGUAAAGGGCGAGUAGGCGGCCCGCUAAGUCUCAUGUGAAAUCUCCCGGCUCAACUGGGAGGGGUCAUGAGAAACUGGCAGGCUUGAGGUCAGCAGAGGAAGGCGGAAUUCCCGGAGUAGCGGUGAUAUGCGUAGAUACCGGGAGGAACACCAGAGGCGAAGGCGGCUUUCUGGGCUGCACCUGACGCUGAGGCGCGAAAGCGUGGGGAGCGAACCGGAUUAGAUACCCGGGUAGUCCACGCCCUAAAUGGUGGAUACUAGACAUGGGGGGUAUCGACCCCCUCUGUGUCGUAGCUAACGCGUUAAGUAUCCCGCCUGGGGAGUACGGCCGCAAGGCUAAAACUCAAAGGAAUUGACGGGGGCCCGCACAAGCAGCGGAGCGUGUGGUUU
rnacentral:rRNA from 1 species